rnacentral:rRNA from 1 species
GACGAACGCUGGCGGCGUGCUUAACACAUGCAAGUCGAACGGAAAGGCCUCUUUCGGGGGGUACUCGAGUGGCGAACGGGUGAGUAACACGUGAGUAACCUGCCCUUGACUUUGGGAUAACUUCAGGAAACUGGGGCUAAUACCGGAUAGGAGCUCCUGCUGCAUGGUGGGGGUUGGAAAGUUUCGGCGGUUGGGGAUGGACUCGCGGCUUAUCAGCUUGUUGGUGGGGUAGUGGCUUACCAAGGCUUUGACGGGUAGCCGGCCUGAGAGGGUGACCGGCCACACUGGGACUGAGAUACGGCCCAGACUCCUACGGGAGGCAGCAGUGGGGAAUAUUGCACAAUGGGUGCCAGCCUGAUGCAGCAACGCCGUGUGCGGGAUGACGGCCUUCGGGUUGUAAACCGCUUUCGCUCAUGACGAAGCUUUGUGUGACGGUAGUGGGUAAAGAAGCACCGGCUAACUACGUG